AGUAACUGCGAGUGAAGCGGGAAAAGCUCAAAUUUAAAAUCUGGCGGCCUUUGGUCGUUCGAGUUGUAAUUUAGAGAAGCGUCUUCCGCGCUGGACCGUGCACAAGUCUCCUGGAAUGGAGCGUCAUAGAGGGUGAGAAUCCCGUCUUUGGCACGGAUGCACCAGGGCUUUCGUGAUGCGCUCUCGAAGAGUCGAGUUGUUUGGGAAUGCAGCUCAAAAUGGGUGGUGAACUCCAUCUAAAGCUAAAUAUUGGCGAGAGACCGAUAGCGAACAAGUACCGUGAGGGAAAGAUGAAAAGCACUUUGGAAAGAGAGUGAAACAGUACGUGAAAUUGUUGAAAGGGAAACGCUUGAAGUCAGUCGCGUCGACCGAGACUCAGCCUCGCCUUGGCUUGGUGUACUUCUCGGCCGACGGGUCAGCGUCAAUUUUGGCCUUCGGAUAAUGGCAGGGGAAAGGUAGCACCUUUACGGGUGUGUUAUAGUCUCUUGUCGCAUGCGAGGGUCAGG
rnacentral:rRNA from 1 species